rnacentral:rRNA from 1 species
UACGGAGGGAGCUAGCGUUGUUCGGAAUUACUGGGCGUAAAGCGCACGUAGGCGGCGAUUCAAGUCAGAGGUGAAAGCCCGGGGCUCAACCCCGGAACUGCCUUUGAAACUAGAUUGCUAGAAUCUUGGAGAGGUCAGUGGAAUUCCGAGUGUAGAGGUGAAAUUCGUAGAUAUUCGGAAGAACACCAGUGGCGAAGGCGACUGACUGGACAAGUAUUGACGCUGAGGCGCGAAAGCGUGGGGAGCAAACAGG